rnacentral:rRNA from 1 species
UACGGAGGGUGCGAGCGUUGUUCGGAAUCACUGGGCGUAAAGCGCGUGUAGGCGGCCCAUUAAGGCUGAUGUGAAAGCCCGGGGCUCACCCCCGGAAGUGCAUUGGAGACUGAUGGACUCGAGUCCCGGAGAGGAGAGUGGAAUUCCUGGUGUAGCGGUGAAAUGCGUAGAUAUCAGGAGGAACACCGGUGGCGAAGGCGGCUCUCUGGACGGUGACUGACGCUGAGACGCGAAAGCGUGGGGAGCAAACAGG